CUUACAUAUGCUAGCUUAUCUAAUAUGCACUCAGUGUGUGCUGCCUUUGUUGAGGGUUUGUGUCUGGAUAGAAAAACAGAAAGUUGCUGAUGAGGGCACUGUUGCUCCAAAAACACCAGACUCUGCAGCCAUGUUGGGAUCAACAGCUCUAAAUUCCCUGGGCCUUGCUGUUAACUCUCAUCCUGCUUCCAGGACGGAAUCAUUUUUUCAUCGGGAUCUUGAUUGAAAAAAAGCCAACAGUGACAAACUCCACACCCAGAGGACCUAGGCUGACCGGGAAUCGAUCACUGGACCAUUUUGCUGUGAGGCAACAGUGCUAUCCACCCAACUCAAAAUCCAAAAAUGUCAAACGAGGAUCUGGGCGGCGGAGCGGGAUAAAGGCCGACGUUGAAGGUGACAGGAGGGGAUGGCUGAUGGAGAGUGGGACUGUGAAAUGGAGGAGGAGAGAGAUGGAAAGUGGCGCUUACCCUCAGGCUCUGGCAGUCUGGCGAUGGAAUCCAGCAGGAGGCAACGUUUGAACGUCAGCGUCUGGCAGGCCUGGUAUGACAACACACACCUGGAGGAGAGCGAGAGAAAGGCAUUAGAGGGCUGGC